rnacentral:lncRNA from 1 species
AAGAGACAAUUAAUCCUCUCAGUAAAGCAGCCCAGUGCACCCAUGGAUUCCCAACUGUGACACAAGAGGAAUGACCAAGUGUCUGUUGUACAGCUGUUUUACUCUUUCACUUGCAAAUUAUUCAAACCAAGAAAGAUCCUAUGGUGAAUCCUGCAUUAAGAAUUCUGUUCAGCAACUGAUCUUUGCUCUGCUGGUGGGACCUUUCCUUGGGAAGAGCAAGAGUAAAAUCUAUUUCUGA